CGGAGCGUUCCGACUAUGGGCGUAAGGCGCGCACGCGGUUUCUCUAGGUCUGAUGUGAAAGCCCACGGCUCAACCGUUGGAGGGUCAUUGGAAACGUGGGGAACUUGAGUGCAGAAGAGAAAAGCGGAAUUCCACGUGUAGCGGUGAAAUGCGUAGAGAUGUGGAGGAACACCAGUGGCGAAGGCGGCUUUUUGGUCUGUAACUGACGCUGAGGCGCGAAAGCGUGGGGAGCAAACAGGAUUAGAUACCCUGGUAGUCCACGCCGUAAACGAUGAGUGCUAAGUGUUAGAGGGUUUCCGCCCUUUAGUGCUGCAGCUAACGCAUUAAGCACUCCGCCUGGGGAGUACGGUCGCAAGACUGAAACUCAAAGGAAUUGACGGGGGCCCGCACAAGCGGUGGAGCAUGUGGUUUAAUUCGAAGCAACGCGAAGAACCUUACCAGGUCUUGACAUCCUCUGACAACUCUAGAGAUAGAGCGUUCCCCUUCGGGGGACAGAGUGACAGGUGGUGCAUGGUUGUCGUCAGCUCGUGUCGUGAGAUGUUGGGUUAAGUCCCGCAACGAGCGCAACCCUUGAUCUUAGUUGCCAGCAUUUAGUUGGGCACUCUAAGGUGACUGCCGGUGACAAACCGGAGGAAGGUGGGGAUGACGUCAAAUCAUCAUGCCCCUUAUGACCUGGGCUACACACGUGCUACAAUGGAUGGUACAAAGGGCUGCAAGACCGCGAGGUCAAGCCAAUCCCAUAAAACCAUUCUCAGUUCGGAUUGUAGGCUGCAACUCGCCUACAUGAAGCUGGAAUCGCUAGUAAUCGCGGAUCAGCAUGCCGUUCAGGCUCAGGAUGAACGCUGGCGGCGUGCCUAAUACAUGCAAGUCGAGCGAACUGAUUAGAAGCUUGCUUCUAUGACGUUAGCGGCGGACGGGUGAGUAACACGUGGGCAACCUGCCUGUAAGACUGGGAUAACUUCGGGAAACCGAAGCUAAUACCGGAUAGGAUCUUCUCCUUCAUGGGAGAUGAUUGAAAGAUGGUUUCGGCUAUCACUUACAGAUGGGCCCGCGGUGCAUUAGCUAGUUGGUGAGGUAACGGCUCACCAAGGCAACGAUGCAUAGCCGACCUGAGAGGGUGAUCGGCCACACUGGGACUGAGACACGGCCCAGACUCCUACGGGAGGCAGCAGUAGGGAAUCUUCCGCAAUGGACGAAAGUCUGACGGAGCAACGCCGCGUGAGUGAUGAAGGCUUUCGGGUCGUAAAACUCUGUUGUUAGGGAAGAACAAGUACAAGAGUAACUGCUUGUACCUUGACGGUACCUAACCAGAAAGCCACGGCUAACUACGUGCCAGCAGCCGCGGUAAUACGUAGGUGGCAAGCGUUAUCCGGAAUUAUUGGGCGUAAAGCGCGCGCAGGCGGUUUCUUAAGUCUGAUGUGAAAGCCCACGGCUCAACCGUGGAGGGUCAUUGGAAACUGGGGAACUUGAGUGCAGAAGAGAAAAGCGGAAUUCCACGUGUAGCGGUGAAAUGCGUAGAGAUGUGGAGGAACACCAGUGGCGAAGGCGGCUUUUUGUCGUAACGACGCGAGCGAAAAGUGGG
rnacentral:rRNA from 1 species